GGGUACCGGUACAGAGUCAAUGUGGAGGCUAUAUACAGGGUAUUACGGUACAGAGUCAAUGUGGAGGCUAUAUACAGGGGGUACCGGUACAGAGUCAAUGUGGAGGCUAUAUACAGGGGGUACCGGUACAGAGUCAAUGUGGAGGCUAUAUACAGGGUAUUACGGUACAGAGUCAAUGUGGAGGCUAUAUACAGGGUAUUACGGUACAGAGUCAAUGAGGAGGCUAUAUACAGGGUGUUACGGUACAGAGUCAAUGUGGAGGCUAUAUACAGGGGGUUACAGUACAGAGUCAAUGUAGAGGCUAUAUGCAGGGUAUUAUGGUACAGAGUCAAUGAGGAGGCUAUAUACAGGGUCUUAUGGUACAGAGUCAAUGUGGAGGCUAUAUACAGGGGGUUACGGUACAGAGUCAAUGUGGAGGCUAUAUACAGGGGGUUACGGUACAGAGUCAAUGUGGAGGCUAUAUACAGGGGGUUACGGUACAGAGUCAAUGUGGAGACUAUAUACAGGGGGUACCGGUACAGAGUCAAUGUGGAGGCUAUAUACAGGGGGUUACGGUACAGAGUCAAUGUGGAGACUAUAUACAGGGG
ensembl:lncRNA